rnacentral:snRNA from 1 species
GUGCUCGCUUCAGCAGCACAGAUACUAAAAUUGGAACGAUACAGAGAAGAUUAGCAUGGCUCCUGUGCAAGGAUGACAUGCAAGUUCGUGAAGCGUUCCAUAUUUUU